rnacentral:rRNA from 1 species
UUAAGUUAUUAAGGGCGCACGGUGGAUGCCUUGGCACUAGAAGCCGAUGAAGGACGUUACUAACGACGAUAUGCUUUGGGGAGCUGUAAGUAAGCUUUGAUCCAGAGAUUUCCGAAUGGGGAAACCCAGCAUGAGUUAUGUCAUGUUAUCGAUAUGUGAAUACAUAGCAUAUCAGAAGGCACACCCGGAGAACUGAAAUAUCUUAGUACCCGGAGGAAGAGAAAGAAAAUUCGAUUCCCUUAGUAGCGGCGAGCGAAACGGGAAGAGCCCAAACCAACAAGCUUGCUUGUUGGGGUUGUAGGACACUCUAUACGGAGUUACAAAGGACGACAUUAGACGAAUCAUCUGGAAAGAUGAAUCAAAGAAGGUAAUAAUCCUGUAGUCGAAAAUGUUGUCUCUCUUGAGUGGAUCCUGAGUACGACGGAGCACGUGAAAUUCCGUCGGAAUCUGGGAGGACCAUCUCCUAAGGCUAAAUACUCUCUAGUGACCGAUAGUGAACCAGUACCGUGAGGGAAAGGUGAAAAGCACCCCGGAAGGGGAGUGAAAUAGAACCUGAAACCGUGUGCUUACAAGUAGUCAGAGCCCGUUAAUGGGUGAUGGCGUGCCUUUUGUAGAAUGAACCGGCGAGUUACGAUUUGAUGCAAGGUUAAGCAGUAAAUGUGGAGCCGUAGCGAAAGCGAGUCUGAAUAGGGCGUUUAGUAUUUGGUCGUAGACCCGAAACCAGGUGAUCUACCCUUGGUCAGGUUGAAGUUCAGGUAACACUGAAUGGAGGACCGAACCGACUUACGUUGAAAAGUGAGCGGAUGAACUGAGGGUAGCGGAGAAAUUCCAAUCGAACCUGGAGAUAGCUGGUUCUCUCCGAAAUAGCUUUAGGGCUAGCCUCAAGUGAUGAUUAUUGGAGGUAGAGCACUGUUUGGACGAGGGGCCCCUCUCGGGUUACCGAAUUCAGACAAACUCCGAAUGCCAAUUAAUUUAACUUGGGAGUCAGAACAUGGGUGAUAAGGUCCGUGUUCGAAAGGGAAACAGCCCAGACCACCAGCUAAGGUCCCAAAAUAUAUGUUAAGUGGAAAAGGAUGUGGCGUUGCCCAGACAACUAGGAUGUUGGCUUAGAAGCAGCCAUCAUUUAAAGAGUGCGUAAUAGCUCACUAGUCGAGUGACACUGCGCCGAAAAUGUACCGGGGCUAAACAUAUUACCGAAGCUGUGGAUUGUCCUUUGGACAAUGGUAGGAGAGCGUUCUAAGGGCGUUGAAGCAUGAUCGUAAGGACAUGUGGAGCGCUUAGAAGUGAGAAUGCCGGUGUGAGUAGCGAAAGACGGGUGAGAAUCCCGUCCACCGAUUGACUAAGGUUUCCAGAGGAAGGCUCGUCCGCUCUGGGUUAGUCGGGUCCUAAGCUGAGGCCGACAGGCGUAGGCGAUGGAUAACAGGUUGAUAUUCCUGUACCACCUAUAAUCGUUUUAAUCGAUGGGGGGACGCAGUAGGAUAGGCGAAGCGUGCGAUUGGAUUGCACGUCUAAGCAGUAAGGCUGAGUAUUAGGCAAAUCCGGUACUCGUUAAGGCUGAGCUGUGAUGGGGAGAAGACAUUGUGUCUUCGAGUCGUUGAUUUCACACUGCCGAGAAAAGCCUCUAGAUAGAAAAUAGGUGCCCGUACCGCAAACCGACACAGGUAGUCAAGAUGAGAAUUCUAAGGUGAGCGAGCGAACUCUCGUUAAGGAACUCGGCAAAAUGACCCCGUAACUUCGGGAGAAGGGGUGCUCUUUAGGGUUAACGCCCAGAAGAGCCGCAGUGAAUAGGCCCAAGCGACUGUUUAUCAAAAACACAGGUCUCUGCUAAACCGUAAGGUGAUGUAUAGGGGCUGACGCCUGCCCGGUGCUGGAAGGUUAAGAGGAGUGGUUAGCUUCUGCGAAGCUACGAAUCGAAGCCCCAGUAAACGGCGGCCGUAACUAUAACGGUCCUAAGGUAGCGAAAUUCCUUGUCGGGUAAGUUCCGACCCGCACGAAAGGCGUAACGAUUUGGGCACUGUCUCAACGAGAGACUCGGUGAAAUCAUAGUACCUGUGAAGAUGCAGGUUACCCGCGACAGGACGGAAAGACCCCGUGGAGCUUUACUGUAGCCUGAUAUUGAAAUUCGGCACAGCUUGUACAGGAUAGGUAGGAGCCUUUGAAACGUGAGCGCUAGCUUACGUGGAGGCGCUGGUGGGAUACUACCCUAGCUGUGUUGGNUUUCUAACCCGCACCACUUAUCGUGGUGGGAGACAGUGUCAGGCGGGCAGUUUGACUGGGGCGGUCGCCUCCUAAAAGGUAACGGAGGCGCUCAAAGGUUCCCUCAGAAUGGUUGGAAAUCAUUCAUAGAGUGUAAAGGCAUAAGGGAGCUUGACUGCGAGACCUACAAGUCGAGCAGGGUCGAAAGACGGACUUAGUGAUCCGGUGGUUCCGCAUGGAAGGGCCAUCGCUCAACGGAUAAAAGCUACCCCGGGGAUAACAGGCUUAUCUCCCCCAAGAGUUCACAUCGACGGGGAGGUUUGGCACCUCGAUGUCGGCUCAUCGCAUCCUGGGGCUGUAGUCGGUCCCAAGGGUUGGGCUGUUCGCCCAUUAAAGCGGUACGCGAGCUGGGUUCAGAACGUCGUGAGACAGUUCGGUCCCUAUCCGUCGUGGGCGUAGGAAAUUUGAGAGGAGCUGUCCUUAGUACGAGAGGACCGGGAUGGACAUACCUCUGGUGUACCAGUUGUCGUGCCAACGGCAUAGCUGGGUAGCUAUGUGUGGACGGGAUAAGUGCUGAAAGCAUCUAAGCAUGAAGCCCCCCUCAAGAUGAGAUUUCCCAACUUCGGUUAUAAGAUCCCUCAAAGAUGAUGAGGUUAAUAGGUUCGAGGUGGAAGCAUGGUGACAUGUGGAGCUGACGAAUACUAAUCGAUCGAAGACUUAAUCAA